rnacentral:rRNA from 1 species
UAUAUACUUACACCACCUACGCCAGGGUACUACGAGCUUUAGCUUAAAACCCAAAGGACUUGACGGUGUCCCAUCCAACUAGAGGAGCCUGUUCUAUAAUCGAUAACCCCCGAUAUACCUAACCUCACCUUGCCAAUCAGCCUGUAUACCUCCGUCGCAAACUUACCAUAUGAAUGCCAACAGUAAGUUUAAUGAUUUUAUCACCAACACGUCAGGUCAAGGUGCAGCUCAUGAUGAGGAAGAAAUGGGCUACAAUUUCUAAAAUAGAACUCACGGAAUGCUACAUGAAACACAGCACAAAGGCGGAUUUAGUAGUAAAAAGAAAAUAAAGUGUCCUUCUUAAUAAGGCCCUGGGACGUGUACACACCGCCCGUCACCCUCUUCAACAGCACAUAAUGUGUAUUUAACAAUUUUUGCACUUUAGAAGAGGCAAGUCGUAACAUGGUAAGUGUACUGGAAAGUGCACUUGGAUUA